GACGAACGCUGGCGGCGCGCUUAACACAUGCAAGUCGAACGGAAAGGCCUGCUUUCCCUUGUGGAUUGCGGGUACUCGAGUGGCGAACGGGCGAGUAACACGUGAGUGAUCUGCCCCCAACUUGGGUAUAAGCCUGGGAAACUGGGUCUAAUUCCCGAUAGGACUGCAGGGUGGUGCCUGUGGUGGAAAACGAUUUUCUAGUGGUUGGGGAUGAGCUCGCGGCCUAUCAGCUUGUUGGUGGGGUAAUGGCCUACCAAGGCGGCGACGGGUAGCCGGCCUGAGAGGGUGGACGGCCACAUUGGGACUGAGAUACGGCCCAGACUCCUACGGGAGGCAGCAGUGGGGAAUAUUGCACAAUGGGCGGAAGCCUGAUGCAGCGACGCCGCGUGGGGAUGACGGCCUUCGGGUUGUAAACUCCUUUCGACCGCGAGGAAGCCACCUGGUUGGAAGGGUGGUGACGGUAGUGGUAGAAGAAGCACCGGCUAACUACGUG
rnacentral:rRNA from 1 species